rnacentral:rRNA from 1 species
UUCGUAGGUGGCAAGCGUUGUCCGGAAUUAUUGGGCGUAAAGCGCGCGCAGGCGGUCUCUUAAGUCUGAUGUGAAAUCCCGUGGCUUAACCACGGGCGGUCAUUGGAAACUGGGGGACUUGAGUGCAGAAGAGAAGAGCGGAAUUCCACGUGUAGCGGUGAAAUGCGUAGAGAUGUGGAGGAACACCGGUGGUGUAGACGGCUCUCUGGACCGUAACUGACGCUGAGACACGCAAGCGUGGGUAGCAAACAGG